CCAAGAGAACUAUCGGGCAGACACACGGCGGGUGCUAACGUCCGUCGUGAAAAGGGAAACAACCCUAACCAUCAUCUAAGGCCCCCAAGUACUGGCUAAGUGGGAAACGAUGUGGGAUUGCUUUGACAAUCAGGAGGUUGGCUUAGAAGCAGCCAUCCUUUAAAGAAAGCGUAACAGCUCACUGAUCAAGCGAUCCUGCGCGGAAAAUGUAACGGGGCUCAAGCCAGUCGCCGAAGAUAUGGGUGUGCACUUUGUGCAUGCGGUAGCGGAGCGUUCCGUAGGCCGGUGAAGGUCAGGCGUGAGCCUGGCUGGAGGUAUCGGAAGUGAGAAUGCUGACAUGAGUAACGAUAAGAGUGUGAGAGACACUCUCGCCGAAAGACCAAGGGUUCCUGCGUAAAGCUAAUCUGCGCAGGGU
rnacentral:rRNA from 1 species